UGGUGCCAGCAGCCGCGGUAAUUCCAGCUCCAAUAGCGUAUAUUAAAGUUGUUGCAGUUAAAAAGCUCGUAGUUGAAUUUCGGGGUUAGUAAGUUGGUCAUGCCUCUGGUAUGAACUGGCUUUACUGAUUCCUCCUUCUUGAUGAACUGUAAUGUCAUUAAUUUGGUGUUGCAGGGAAUCAGGACUGUUACUUUGAAAAAAUUAGAGUGUUUAAAGCAGGCAUACGCUUGAAUACAUUAGCAUGGAAUAAUGAAAUAGGACGUUUGAUCCUAUUUUGUUGGUUUCUAGGAUUGACGUAAUGAUUAAUAGGGAUAGUUGGGGGCAUUAGUAUUCAAUUGUCAGAGGUGAAAUUCUUGGAUUUAUUGAAGACUAACUACUGCGAAAGCAUUUGCCAAGGAUGUUUUCAUUAAUCAAGAACGAAAGUUAGGGGAUCGAAGACGAUCAGAUACCGUCGUAGUCUUAACCAUAAACUAUGCCGACUAGGGA
rnacentral:rRNA from 1 species